UACGGGGGGGGCAAGCGUUGUUCGGAAUUACUGGGCGUAAAGGGCUCGUAGGCGGCCAACUAAGUCAGACGUGAAAUCCCUCGGCUUAACCGGGGAACUGCGUCUGAUACUGGAUGGCUUGAGUUUGGGAGAGGGAUGCGGAAUUCCAGGUGUAGCGGUGAAAUGCGUAGAUAUCAGGAAGAACACCAACGGCGAAGGCAGCUCGCUAGGACGGUACUGACGCUGAGACGCGAAAGCGUGGGGAGCGAACAGG
rnacentral:rRNA from 1 species